AGAAGAGUUGUCUGUAGCACUGUGCUUAAAUUGGCAAUGUGAAAACGUUUUAAGCAACUAAUUAAGACUGAAAAACUAGUAUGCUAGUUGAUAACUGAUGUGGCAAACUUUGCACUGUUAUUUUUUCAUAAAUCUUCGUCGCGUGUGUAUCGAGGUAAGGAACCUGAAACGCCUUCUCAUCAUACUAAUUGGAUUUUCUGAAUAACGAGAAGAAAAGUUCUCGUCGAAUUCUUUCAUCUCGGAUGGAGAUCUGAAGACUAUAUACGACAAUGUCUUUUAAAUAAUAACCGUACUAAAUGGCCGUGAAAUUUGAUCCUCGUUACGAAGUUAAAAGAUAAAUUUAUCACUGUGUAUGUAAAUAUGUAAUAAAUGUCCAAAAGUUCCAGUCA